rnacentral:rRNA from 1 species
UUUUAUGGAGAGUUUGAUCCUGGCUCAGGACGAACGCUGGCGGCGUGCCUAAUACAUGCAAGUCGAGCGAAUGAUGAGGAAGCUUGCUUCCUCUGAUUUAGCGGCGGACGGGUGAGUAACACGUGGGCAACCUACCUUAUAGUUUGGGAUAACUCCGGGAAACCGGGGCUAAUACCAAAUAAUCUCUUUUACUUCAUGGUGAAAGACUGAAAGACGGCAUCUAGCUGUCGCUAUAGGAUGGGCCCGCGGCGCAUUAGCUAGUUGGUGAGGUAACGGCUCACCAAGGCGACGAUGCGUAGCCGACCUGAGAGGGUGAUCGGCCACACUGGGACUGAGACACGGCCCAGACUCCUACGGGAGGCAGCAGUAGGGAAUCUUCCACAAUGGGCGAA